rnacentral:tRNA from 3 species
GGGGACGCUGGUGCGCUGGAUCGCCUUCGGGCGUGACAGAUACGGCGGUUCGAUUCCGUCGGUCUCCACCA